GUAUAACUUUGUUGGGCUGUUAGAGUAUGAUAGCUGAUUGUUUUUUAUUCUUUUCCCUUUUUCAGUCGAGCCCCUUCCCCUUUCUCCCAUUCUUUAUAUCUGCUACAGCUUUGAAUGUUCAGUUAAGUGAUGUAACCAUCUGAACUUGGGUGAAAUAUUGGGUUUAUAUGGCUGAGUUUUCUAUCUUCAGUCAGACUACUUGGCCCCUAGUUGACCUCCAUCAUUACCUCUACAUAGUUCUUACAAGAUGACUGCUACACCAUCCUUAGAGUAGGCUACCCGACCCCUAUAAGAAAUGUCAGGUCUUGCUCCUUAGUUGCCCCCUCCUGGCUCUUGGAGGCAGAGUUAAA
rnacentral:lncRNA from 1 species